GGUUGAUGUGCCCUUGGAAGUGGCUUUUUAAAAAACUUAGUCAACCACGAAAAAUUGUCAUCAGUCCCUCCUCCCAAACCCCUGUAGGAACUCUCUCCCGUAUCUCCAUCCCGUACUGUGGGCCUAAGGUAGAAGAAACCCGGUCAUUCCCAGUGUCUUCUUCCAUUGACGAAAAGGAUAUGAAAUUCACCAGGAAAGUGUGAUAGGUGGUUUAGACUCCUAACUCCAUAAUUCAAGGCACCAAUUGAUUAAUGUGUCAGGAAGAAUGGCAUCUGCACAAACCACUCAAUAAAACCUCACUGCAGUAGAAGCCCAAGAGUUCCCACAGAGAUCUUAUAACUGGAGUUACCGCUUAUUCGAAUUAAAAGCCUCCUAGAGGAUUCUUUCAAGGGUAAGCCACCAACCCCCUUAAUUGUAGCACGUGCAUGCCUGCAUGCUCAGUCGCUCAAUCAUGUCUGGCUCUUUGCGACCCCAUGGACUGUAGCCCACCAGGCUCCUCUGUCCAUGGAUUUUCAGGCAAGAAUACUGGAGCGGAUUGCCAUGCCCUCCUCCAGGGGAUCUUCUCAACCCAGGGGUGGAAACCUACAUUUCCAUGUCUCCUGUAUUGGCAGGUGGAGUCUUUACCGCUAGUGCCACCUGGGAAGCCCAUGACUUAUGCAGUAUUAGUGAUUCUGUUUGAUGUUUAUGUCUAUGUGCUUACCUACUAGCCAGAAAGAUGCUCUCAGUGGAAUGUCUGAUACUGUUUAUCCCAGGUUAAUAAUUAGAAUAGCUAACAUUAUCAUGGUGCUUUCUAUGUGUCAUAUACACUGUAGACACUUUAUUAUACUCAUUCAUCUAAUCUGUGCAGAAACCCUAUCGGCUGGAUACUUUUGUCAUCUUAACUUUAUAGAUGAGAAACUGAUCCACAGAGAACUUAACCCUGAUGAACUUAAUAUGCUCAAGGUCUUGGUGACUUGGUGUAAAGUCCUCAAGCCAGGAUUCAAUCCAGGCAGUCUGGUUCCAGAAUCGGUGUUCUUAACAACUGCAUUAAGGCCCCCUCCACUUUUCUUAAAGAGUUACUGAUUAUCUUGUUAUUAUAGCCACACUUGUGUGUCACUUGAGGAUACUGGCUUAAUAUCGUGGUUGAGAAUGAGUUUGAUGUUUGAAACACUGCAAAAGGACGUCAGAUGCUUCACUUCUGACAGCCUACCAAAGAUAUCUCACUUAGUCAAGACCUGUAUUGAUCUUCCCUACAGGGAACAGUUUUUGAUGGCUUGAGACACUUUCUCAAAAUAGCUCAAAGUGCUCUUAAAUGCUAUGCUGAUUCCUCGCUCAUUCCCCGCCCCCAAAGAAUGAAUCUCUUCUAAGACAAAGUUUAAUAUUGCUGCCAUAAUUGAGAGCCUCAUGUAAGCCUAAAAAUGAACUCUGGCUGGUUCUUGGAUCUUCUGAAUAAUGCCUCUGUUGAGAGUAACCCAGCCAUGACGCUUCUAUAUUCUGGCAUUCAUAUUGUACCAGCCCUGGCAUCUCUGUCACAAACCAGAAGCCCAUCCCAGUCGGAAACCAGUUUUCAAAGAGCAGUGUGUAAAAUGUACUUUUCUUUGUCUUCUGUUUCUAUGCGUGGUUGGUUCUUGUUCAUUUCCUAAAGCUGUACAUGGGAGCGGUUAAGAAUAGAAGCCAGCCUAGUUUUCCUAUUAAAAUACUUUAUACUCUUCCUGACUAUAAUUGUAAACCCAACUCAACAUACUCCAAAUUUUAUGCCAGAAGUCCAUUUUAUUUGAACAAAAAUUUCAUCGGCCAUAUCAAGUUAUUGUGGGUUUUUAAGUGAAGUGUUUUAAAUAGCAGAUGUCCAUGUCCUUAGCAUGCAUGCCUCAGUCUUUAACUCAAAGUGAUUAGAAGUUACUAAAUCUUACUACCGUUCAUUAAGAAUCAUAUAUCAAAAAACUGUUGUAUUCUAGGCAGUAUGCUGAGUAACUAGAGAUAGAGAAGUAAAUAGGACAUAAUGCUUAUUUGUGGGGAGCUUACAGUUUGCAAGAGGAGACAGACAGUAAUCCCCCCAAAAUGACAUUAGGCCUUAUUAGUGCAAUAGUGGACAAUUGUACAUAUUACGCAGAGAAGGCAAUGGCAGCCCACUCCAGUACUCUCGCCUGGAAAAUCCCAUGGAUGGAGGAGCCUGGUGGGCUUCAGUCCAUGAGGUCGCUAAGAGUUGGACACGAC
ensembl:lncRNA